UCCGGCGGGGGCUAUCGUUGCUCGGAAUUACUGGGCGUAAAGCGCACGUAGGCGGACUUUUAAGUCGGGGGUGAAAUCCUGGAGCUCAACUCCAGAACUGCCUUCGAAACUGAAAGUCUUGAGUUCGGGAGAGGUGAGUGGAACUGCGAGUGUAGAGGUGAAAUUCGUAGAUAUUCGCAAGAACACCAGUGGCGAAGGCGGCUCACUGGCCCGAUACUGACGCUGAGGUGCGAAAGCGUGGGGAGCAAACAGG
rnacentral:rRNA from 1 species